AAUAACACGUGCUGUGUAAAUGUCUUUAGUGUUAACUUUAUAGUCUUUAUUGUGUCGUAGAUCAGAUCUAGAAUAUAGAUUAUCUAGGACCAGAUAAUCUGGCUUAGCUCUAGUUCUAACUUUUAGCUGAUGUUAAUUAGUUAACAGAGUCUGACAGAGUGUAUCCUGGAUCUAGAAUCUAAAAGUAACAUUUAUUUUUCACUUUUGGAAAUGAAUAUUCCAGACAUUUUGUACAGUUGCCAACAAAUCAUUGAUGAAUUUGAAUAGCUGUGGACCAACGUCUUUCCAACUUCUGUGUGUAUUCAUAUUUAUAUCUAUAUCUUAGAUUAAAGCCUACUAGAAGACAAUGAAACUAUCUGGUUGUAGAUCUAAAUCAACCGAAACAACCCAAGAAGAGAUUAGUGUUGCAGAGCAUGUGAGCACAGAUGUUUCCCAAGAAAUUGGAAGUGAAAAAGAAAAUGCCAGUUUCUGUAAACCCUUCUUCAAAUGUCCAUUGUGUGGAUACACAGGUAAACACGAAUGCUGGUUGAAACGCCACAUGAGAAUCCAUUCUGGCGAAAAGCCUUUUAAAUGUGAUCUAUGCAGUUAUGCUACCACUCAACUGGGUUUUCUGAACAGACACAAGAAAAAUCACUCCAACAACAAACCAUAUGAGUGUUGUCAUUGUAAUUACAGAGCCAAACAACUUUCAGACCUGACGUAUCAUAUUAGGAUACACACCGGGGAGCGUCCUUACACCUGCUCAUUUUGUGAUUACACUUCAAGGACUAGUGGGCUAAUGAGGAAGCACACCAAAAUUCACCUGAAUGAUAGAAACUUUGCUUGUGAUAUGUGCGACUUUAGAACAGUGACAGGAUAUUUGCUGAAAUACCAUUACAGGAAAGUUCAUAUGGAUGAAAAAAGCUUUAAGUGUGACCUAUGCAGUAAAAUGUUUAAAUAUAAAUUGUCAUUUAACAGACAUAUGAAAAAACAACAUUAAGUCCAUGCAAUCCUGUUAGAGACUUGUUAAUCAGAAUUAGAAAACUCAAAAACCUUUACCAGUCAGCUACCUCUGCCAAAAUAAAAAUACCAGUAUCAAAAUUCUUGUGAUAUGGUAGUAGUCA